rnacentral:lncRNA from 1 species
AAGCUGGAAAGGUAAAGCUGAGGAUUUGAUGACAACGGCACGUUGAAGCCCUAAGAGACAGUACUUGCAGAUUGUAUGACCACACCAUAAGACAUAAGGUACAUUCUCAACGACGUUGAAUGAUUCCCAACAAAUGGGACACUCCAAUUUUUCUUCCUUCGUUGUCCUUCUUCCAUCUCCUGAUGAAUCUGAAGGUGAUUUUCUUUGUUUUGUAGCAGCUUCUUCUCCCUGUGAUUUAAAGCCUUCUCUGAUCGAUUUUGAAGCUAAAUUCCACAUAACAAUGGAGGCGUCCACCACAAAGAUAAUCACUUUUGAAUCUUUCUUUCUGCAAAAACAAUACUUAUCAAGCAAAAGUAUACACAUAUAAUCAGACAUGAAAUUCACAAUCUAACCCACAAUGAUUCGACCCAGAACAUAUAAAAAGCAACGAACUUGAUGAAACCCAAGAAAUCAGUAAACAGAGUUACAGAAAACGAAACAUACCAC